AACCAUGCAAGGAAGAGACCUUGUUAUUUUUCACUUUUUAAGAAAAAAGUGUAAUAAAAGGGUACAAAGGGAAAACUAAACUAAGUCAAUUUAACUGUAUUUGAAACAAAAGAUAUUUUAGAUUCAGAUAAAGUUUUCAGAAUCUCAUCUUGUGAUCUUUCUCUCUUCUACAUCAGUCCCAACUUCUGGUUCUGACUCAGAAGAAUUCUAAAGUAACAGAAAACCCUAAAAAAUUCCCUGGGUUUUAAAGGCAGCUGGAAUUUUAGGUUCCUCCCUAUAUCAGUCACUCAGCUUCUGAGAACUGUUUUUCAUCCCUUGCCCUGUGAGCUGGGAGUCUGCUCUGUUUAGACAGAGGUUUCACUCUUUCCGGUUUUGGAAACUGAUCAUGCUCCUCAAGCAAGGGGAUCAAUUACUCUAAACAGGCCAUGUUGCUGACCCUUUGUCCUGAGACAGGGUUGGGGAGGAGGGAUAAGAACAGCUGUCUGCU
rnacentral:lncRNA from 1 species